UACGAAGGGGGCGAGCGUUGUUCGGAUUUACUGGGCGUAAAGGGCGCGUAGGCGGCGCGAGAAGUCGAGUGUGAAAGCCCCGGGCUCAACCUGGGAAUUGCGCUCGAUACUCUUGUGCUUGAGUUCGGGAGAGGAGCGUGGAAUUCCCAGUGUAGAGGUGAAAUUCGUAGAUAUUGGGAAGAACGCCGGUGGCGAAGGCGGCGCUCUGGACCGAGACUGACGCUGAGGCGCGAAAGCGUGGGGAGCAAACAGG
rnacentral:rRNA from 1 species